GGACCUCAGAGGCCAUCCAGUCUGAUAUUCUCGUUUUCCAGAUGGGGAAGCUGAUGCCCAAAGAGAUGAGGAGACAAAUGGUCCCAUUUCCUUGGGCUGCAGCAAUGCUUGGCUAUGCUUUCUGUGAGUAUCUGGGCUGCCUUCUCUCCUCUUCCUCCCAGGAGAAUUGGGUCACUUUAGUUCUUGAGCAAUAAACAGACAAUCACACCAUUUGAA